UACGUAGGGGGCUAGCGUUGUCCGGAAUUAUUGGGCGUAAAGAGCGUGUAGGCGGUUUGUCGCGUCGGGAGUGAAAACACCGGGCUUAACUCGGUGCUUGCUUUCGAUACGGGCAGACUAGAGGCAUGCAGGGGAGAACGGAAUUCCUGGUGUAGCGGUGAAAUGCGCAGAUAUCAGGAGGAACACCGGUGGCGAAGGCGGUUCUCUGGGCAUGUCCUGACGCUGAGGAGCGAAAGUGUGGGGAGCGAACAGG
rnacentral:rRNA from 1 species